rnacentral:rRNA from 1 species
UACGUAGGGGGCUAGCGUUGUCCGGAAUCAUUGGGCGUAAAGCGCGUGUAGGCGGUCCGGUAAGUCCGCUGUGAAAGUCGGGGGCUCAACCCUCGGAUGCCGGUGGAUACUGUCGGGCUUGAGUACGGAAGAGGCGAGUGGAAUUCCUGGUGUAGCGGUGAAAUGCGCAGAUAUCAGGAGGAACAUCAAUUGCGAAGGCAGCUCGCUGGGACGUUACUGACGCUGAGACGCGAAAGCGUGGGGAGCAAACAGG